AUUGAACGCUGGCGGCAGGCUUAACACAUGCAAGUCGAGCGGGGUGAUGGUGCUUGCACUAUCACUUAGCGGCGGACGGGUGAGUAAUGCUUAGGAAUCUGCCUAUUAGUGGGGGACAACAUCUCGAAAGAGAUGCUAAUACCGCAUACGUCCUACGGGAGAAAGCAGGGGAUCACUUGUGACCUUGCGCUAAUAGAUGAGCCUAAGUCGGAUUAGCUAGUUGGUGGGGUAAAGGCCUACCAAGGCGACGAUCUGUAGCGGGUCUGAGAGGAUGAUCCGCCACACUGGGACUGAGACACGGCCCGGACUCCUACGGGAGGCAGCAGUGGGGAAUAUUGGACAAUGGGGGGAACCCUGAUCCGGCCAUGCCGCGUGUGUGAAGAAGGCCUUAUGGUUGUAAAGCACUUUAAGCGAGGAGGAGGCUCUUUUGGUUAAUACCCAAGAUGAGUGGACGUUACUCGCAGAAUAAGCACCGGCUAACUCUGUGCCAGCCGCCGCGGUAA
rnacentral:rRNA from 1 species